rnacentral:rRNA from 1 species
GCUUGUCUCAAAGAUUAAGCCAUGCAUGUCUCAGUACAAGCCAAAUUAAGGUGAAACCGCGAAAGGCUCAUUAAAUCAGUUAUGGUUCCUUAGAUCGUACCCACAAUUACUUGGAUAACUGUGGUAAUUCUAGAGCUAAUACAUGCAAACAGAGCUCCGACCGGAGACGGAAGGAGUGCUUUUAUUAGAUCAAAACCAAUCGGUGGCGGGCUCGUCAUCGUACAACUUGGUGACUCUGAAUAACUUUACGCUGAUCGCACGGUCAUCGCACCGGCGACGCAUCUUUCAAAUGUCUGCCUUAUCAACUGUCGAUGGUAGGUUCUGCGCCUACCAUGGUCGUAACGGGUAACGGGGAAUCAGGGUUCGAUUCCGGAGAGGGAGCCUGAGAAACGGCUACCACAUCCAAGGAAGGCAGCAGGCGCGCAAAUUACCCACUCCCGGCACGGGGAGGUAGUGACGAAAAAUAACGAUACGGGACUCAUCCGAGGCCCCGUAAUCGGAAUGAGUACACUCUAAACCCUUUAACGAGGAUCAAUUGGAGGGCAAGUCUGGUGCCA